GGUUUCUUGAAUUAAAAUAAGAGAUUUAACCUGCCCACUGAUUAUGAGUUGAAGGGCCGCAGUAUUUUGACUGUGCAAAGGUAGCAUAAUCAUUAGUCUUUUAAUUGAAGGCUGGAAUGAAUGGUUGGACGAGGUAAUAUCUGUUUCAUAUUAAUUUAAAUCGAAUUUAAAUUUUAAGUUAAAAGGCUUAAAUGGCAUUAAGGGACGAGAAGACCCUAUAGAGUUUAAUAUAGUAAAUUUUAUAUUAGGUUAAGGCUUAAUUUUUAAUAGUUGAGGAAUAUAUUUGAUUGGGGUGAUUGAAAAAUAAAAUGAACUUUUUUUUGUUAUUGAUAUUAUAUAUAAUUAUUUGAUCCAUGAUUUGUGAUUGUAAGAUUAAAUUACCUUAGGGAUAACAGCAUAAUUUUUUUUAAGAGUUCUUAUCAAAAAGAAAGAUUAUGACCUCGAUGUUGGAUUAAGAUAAAUUUUGGGUGUAGAAGUUUAAAAAUUAAGUCUGUUCGACUUUUAAAAUCUUACA
rnacentral:rRNA from 1 species